rnacentral:rRNA from 1 species
UUAAAAGGCGCUUCGGCGUCACCUAGAGAUGGAUCCGCGGUGCAUUAGUUAGUUGGUGGGGUAAAGGCCUACCAAGACAAUGAUGCAUAGCCGAGUUGAGAGACUGAUCGGCCACAUUGGGACUGAGACACGGCCCAAACUCCUACGGGAGGCUGCAGUAGGGAAUCUUCCACAAUGGGCGAAAGCCUGAUGGAGCAACGCCGCGUGUGUGAUGAAGGCUUUCGGGUCGUAAAGCACUGUUGUAUGGGAAGAACAGCUAGAAUAGGAAAUGAUUUUAGUUUGACGGUACCAUACCAGAAAGGGACGGCUAAAUACGUGCCAGCAGCCGCGGUAAUACGUAUGUCCCGAGCGUUAUCCGGAUUUAUUGGGCGUAAAGCGAGCGCAGACGGUUUAUUAAGUCUGAUGCGAAAGCCCGGAGCUCAACUCCGGAAUGGCAUUGGAAACUGGUUAACUUGAGUGCAGUAGAGGUAAGUGGAACUCCAUGUGUAGCGGUGGAAUGCGUAGAUAUAUGGAAGAACACCAGUGGCGAAGGCGGCUUACUGGACUGCAACUGACGUUGA